UACGUAGGGGGCAAGCGUUGUCCGGAUUCAUUGGGCGUAAAGAGCGUGUAGGCGGCCAGGUAGGUCGGUUGUGAAAACUGGAGGCUCAACCUCCAGACGUCGACGGAAACCGUGUGGCUAGAGUCCGGAAGAGGAGAGUGGAAUUCCUGGUGUAGCGGUGAAAUGCGCAGAUAUCAGGAAGAACACCAAUGGCGAAGGCAGCUCUCUGGGACGGUACUGACGCUGAGACGCGAAAGCGUGGGGAGCGAACAGG
rnacentral:rRNA from 1 species